rnacentral:rRNA from 1 species
AGAGUUUGAUCAUGGCUCAGGAUGAACGCUGGCGGCAGGCCUAAUACAUGCAAGUCGAACGGGAUCUUGAGUAGCAAUACUUGAGUGAGAGUGGCGCACGGGUGCGUAACACGUAUGCAACCUACCUUUAACUGGUACAUAACAUUUCGAAAGGGGUGCUAAUAUACCAUGUGAUUAUUGAGAGGCAUCUUUUGAUAAUUAAAGAUUAAUUGGUUAAAGCUGGGCAUGCGUCCCAUUAGCUAGUUGGAGAGGUAACGGCUCCCCAAGGCGACGAUGGGUAGGGGUUCUGAGAGGAUGAUCCCCCACACUGGUACUGAGACACGGACCAGACUCCUACGGGAGGCAGCAGUAAGGAAUAUUGGUCAAUGGGCGGAAGCCUGAACCAGCCAUGCCGCGUGCAGGAAGACGGCCCUAUGGGUUGUAAACUGCUUUUGUCAGGGGAUAAACCUAUCUACGUGUAGAUAGCUGAAGGUACCUGAAGAAUAAGGAUCGGCUAACUCCGUGCCAGCAGCCGCGGUAAUACGGAGGGUGCAAGCGUUACUCGGAAUCACUGGGCGUAAAGCGCGCGCAGGCGGCCCCUUAAGUUGGAAGUGAAAUCCUAUGGCUCAACCAUAGAACUGCUUCCAAAACUGGGGGGCUAGAGUCUGGGAGGGGAAGAUGGAAUUAGUGGUGUAGGGGUAAAAUCCGUAGAGAUCACUAGGAAUACCAAAAGCGAAGGCGAUCUUCUGGAACAGUACUGACGCUGAGGCGCGAAAGCGUGGGGAGCAAACAGGAUUAGAUACCCUGGUAGUCCACGCCCUAAACGAUGAAUGUUAGUCGUCGGAUAGCACGUCUAUUCGGUGAUGCAGUUAACACGUUAAACAUUCCGCCUGGGGAGUACGGUCGCAAGAUUAAAACUCAAAGGAAUAGACGGGGACCCGCACAAGUGGUGGAGCAUGUGGUUUAAUUCGAAGAUACGCGAAGAACCUUACCUGGCCUUGACAUUGAUAGAAUCUGCUAGAGAUAGCGGAGUGCCCUUCGGGGAGCUUGAAAACAGGUGCUGCACGGCUGUCGUCAGCUCGUGUCGUGAGAUGUUGGGUUAAGUCCCGCAACGAGCGCAACCCUCGUGAUUAGUUACUAACGGUUCGGCCGAGGACUCUAAUCAGACUGCCUUCGUAAGGAGGAGGAAGGUGAGGACGACGUCAAGUCAUCAUGGCCCUUACGGCCAGGGCGACACACGUGCUACAAUGGGUAGGACAAUGAGACGCAAUACCGCGAGGUGGAGCAAAUCUAUAAACCUACUCUCAGUUCGGAUUGUAGUCUGCAACUCGACUACAUGAAGCUGGAAUCACUAGUAAUCGUAGAUCAGCCAUGCUACGGUGAAUACGUUCCCGGGUCUUGUACUCACCGCCCGUCACACCAUGGGAGUUGAUUUCACCCGAAGCGGGGAAGCUAAACUGGCUACCCUCCACGGUGGAAUCAGCGACUGGGGUGAAGUCGUAACAAGGUAACCAAGGGCGAA